GUGGGGAAUCUUGCGCAAUGGGCGAAAGCCUGACGCAGCCAUGCCGCGUGAAUGAUGAAGGUCUUAGGAUUGUAAAAUUCUUUCACCGGGGACGAUAAUGACGGUACCCGGAGAAGAAGCCCCGGCUAACUUCGUGCCAGCAGCCGCGGUAAUACGAAGGGGGCUAGCGUUGCUCGGAAUUACUGGGCGUAAAGGGCGCGUAGGCGGACAGUUUAGUCAGAGGUGAAAGCACAGGGCUCAACCUUGGAAUUGCCUUUGAUACUGGCUGUCUUGAGUACGGGAGAGGUGAGUGGAACUCCGAGUGUAGAGGUGAAAUUCGUAGAUAUUCGGAAGAACACCAGUGGCGAAGGCGACUCACUGGCCCGUUACUGACGCUGAGGCGCGAAAGCGUGGGGAGCAAACAGGAUUAGAAACCCUAGUAGUCC
rnacentral:rRNA from 1 species